rnacentral:rRNA from 1 species
UGGGGAAUAUUGCACAAUGGGCGCAAGCCUGAUGCAGCCAUGCCGCGUGUAUGAAGAAGGCCUUCGGGUUGUAAAGUACUUUCAGCGGGGAGGAAGGUGUUGUGGUUAAUAACCUCAGCAAUUGACGUUACCCGCAGAAGAAGCACCGGCUAACUCCGUGCCAGCAGCCGCGGUAAUACGGAGGGUGCAAGCGUUAAUCGGAAUUACUGGGCGUAAAGCGCACGCAGGCGGUCUGUCAAGUCGGAUGUGAAAGCCCCGGGCUCAACCUGGGAACUGCAUCCGAAACUGGCAGGCUUGAGUCGUGUAGAGGGGGGUAGAAUUCCAGGUGUAGCGGUGAAAUGCGUAGAGAUCUGGAGGAAUACCGGUGGCGAAGGCGGCCCCCUGGACAAAGACUGACGCUCAGGUGCGAAAGCGUGGGGAGCAAACA